rnacentral:lncRNA from 1 species
UUAAUAUAUUCUCUUUUCUAAAAACUUAAAACUGUUUAACUUAGGAUAAAACUAAAAUAUCAAGUUUUUUGAAUGGAGAGAGAGUAAAAAAUACCUCAUUCGUUGCUGCAGGGAUUAGAAAAAAAUUAAAAAGGACAUGUUUUCAGCAAUUUUAAACCGCAUUGCCUAAAUCAGCUGGGGGCUAUGCAUACGGAUGCUGCCGCACUUGUCAUCAACUAUCCAGGUGAGGAGGAAAACAAUUACAUGUUGCAAUCCACACAUGACACAUCAGACUGUGGGAGGAGGUAUUUCGUGUGAAGCUAAAACUGUGCUGCAUAGUAUUUGAAGGAGCAUUGACAUUCAUAUGGCGUGUGCUAAAUUUUUUUUGUACAACUGUGCAUCAGUAUCACUAAUCCAUUUUUUUCUUUUGCAUCAAAACAACUUGCCUGUGCAUCAAUAUCAUCAAUCCGUUUUUUUUUGGCGAGGUUGUGUGCCAACUGAUGGACGCGGCGCAUCCCGAUGCCAUGCUGAUGCAUAGGUUAACUUCGAUGCCAAGACGGCAGGGUCCUGCAGGAUGUGUUUCAACAAGCUCAAGAGUCAAGAUCACUAAGGUCUACCCUUGUGUUGAAAUCGAUUCAACGAGUUUGCUUCGUGCUCUGAAUGUUCAGUGCUAAUGAGAGUUGAUUCUAGUUGUAUGAUGUGACAUGUGCACAUGUCAUGCAGUAGUGUUAAAGCCUUGUAGGAUCGAUUCCUUUGCUAAUACAAAGAGUUUGAUGAUGCCAUAUUUGUGCUCUAAUUUUUGAAUGCUGUGUUGUUUGGUACCUAUAGAAGAAAAUUGCUAUUCUAGGACUCCCAAACAUGUGACUUUGCUAAAAUAGGAUUCCUAACAUUGACAUCGCUA